rnacentral:rRNA from 1 species
UACGUAGGUGGCAAGCGUUGUUCGGAUUCACUGGGCAUAAAGGGUCCGCAGGGGGUUUGGUGUGUCUGAUGUGAAAUCCCAAGGCUCAACCUUGGAACUGCAUUGGAAACUACCGAGCUAGAGUGUCGCAGAGGAAAGUGGAAUUCCCGGUGUAGCGGUGGAAUGCGUAGAUAUCGGGAGGAACACCAAAGGCGAAGGCAGCUUUCUGGGCGAUUACUGACCCUCAGGGACGAAAGCGUGGGGAGCAAACAGG